UGGGGGAAUUUUGGACAAUGGGCGAAAGCCUGAUCCAGCAAUGCCGCGUGUGUGAAGAAGGCCUUCGGGUUGUAAAGCACUUUUGUCCGGAAAGAAAUCCUUGGCUCUAAUACAGUCGGGGGAUGACGGUACCGGAAGAAUAAGCACCGGCUAACUACGUGCCAGCAGCCGCGGUAAUACGUAGGGUGCAAGCGUUAAUCGGAAUUACUGGGCGUAAAGCGUGCGCAGGCGGUUUGCUAAGACCGAUGUGAAAUCCCGGGCUCAACCUGGGAACUGCAUUGGUGACUGGCAGGCUAGAGUAUGGCAGAGGGGGGUAGAAUUCCACGUGUAGCAGUGAAAUGCGUAGAGAUGUGGAGGAAUACCGAUGGCGAAGGCAGCCCCCUGGGCCAAUACUGACGCUCAUGCACGAAAGCGUGGGGAGCAAACAGGAUUAGAUACCCUGGUAGUCCACGCCCUAAACGAUGUCAACUAGUUGUUGGGGAUUCAUUUCCUUAGUAACGUAGCUAACGCGUGAAGUUGACCGCCUGGGGAGUACGGUCGCAAGAUUAAAACUCAAUGAAUUGACGGGGUCAUAGCUGUUUCCU
rnacentral:rRNA from 1 species